GACCUCAAAUCAGGUAGGACUACCCGCUGAACUUAAC
rnacentral:rRNA from 1 species